rnacentral:rRNA from 1 species
AUAUUGGACAAUGGGGGCAACCCUGAUCCAGCCAUGCCGCGCGUGUGAAGAAGGUCUUCGGACUGUAAAGCACUUUAAGUUGGGCGGUAGGGCUUUAGGUUAAUACCCUUAAGUUUUGACGUUACCAACAGAAUAAGCACCGGCUACCUCUGUUCCAGCAGCCGCGGUAAUACAGAGGGUGCAAGCGUUAAUCGGCAUUACUGGGCGUAAAGCGCGCGUAGGUGGUUCAGUAAGAUGGGUGUGAAAACCCCGGGCUUAACCUGGGAACUGCUUUCAUAAAUGAUGAGCUAGAGUACGGUAGAGGGUAGUGGAAUUUCCUGUGUAGCGGUGAAAUGCGUAGAUAUAGGAAGGAACACCAGUGGCGAAGGCGACUACCUGGACUGAUACUGACACUGAGGUGCGAAAGCGUGGGGAGCAAAC